rnacentral:rRNA from 1 species
GAGUUUGAUCAUGGCUCAGGAUGAACGCUAGCGACAGGCUUAACACAUGCAAGUCGAGGGGCAGCGGGGGAGUAGCAAUACUCCCGCCGGCGACCGGCGCACGGGUGAGUAACACGUAUGAAACCUGCCCGUAGCAGGGGGAUAAGCGGAAGAAAUUCCGUCUAAUACCGCGUAACAACCCUUGGAGGCAUCUCCCCGGGGUUUAAAGGAAGCGAUUCCGGCUACGGAUGGUCAUGCGUCGCAUUAGCUUGUUGGCGGGGUAACGGCCCACCAAGGCGACGAUGCGUAGGGGUUCUGAGAGGAAGGUCCCCCACACUGGUACUGAGACACGGACCAGACUCCUACGGGAGGCAGCAGUGAGGAAUAUUGGUCAAUGGCCGCAGGGCUGAACCAGCCAAGUCGCGUGAGGGAUGACGGUCCUAUGGAUUGUAAACCUCUUUUGUCAGGGAGCAAGGGCGCCACGUGUGGCGUUUUGCGAGUACCUGAAGAAAAAGCAUCGGCUAACUCCGUGCCAGCAGCCGCGGUAAUACGGAGGAUGCGAGCGUUAUCCGGAUUUAUUGGGUUUAAAGGGUGCGCAGGCGGAAUGUCAAGUCAGCGGUAAAAUUUCGGGGCUCAACCCCGUCGUGCCGUUGAAACUGGCGUUCUUGAGUGAGCGAGAAGUAUGCGGAAUGCGUGGUGUAGCGGUGAAAUGCAUAGAUAUCACGCAGAACUCCGAUUGCGAAGGCAGCAUACCGGCGCUCAACUGACGCUCAUGCACGAAAGCGUGGGUAUCGAACAGGAUUAGAUACCCUGGUAGUCCACGCAGUAAACGAUGAAUACUAACUGUCCGGGCCGAUUGAGGUCUGGGUGGUACAGCGAAAGCGUUAAGUAUUCCACCUGGGGAGUACGCCGGCAACGGUGAAACUCAAAGGAAUUGACGG